CACGGACACCUUCAUACUAGGCUCCGUCUGUUAUGUCCAGUGUUGGGUAACUGAAGUGUAACGUGAUUGGUGUCAUGUGCAGGUGUGCUGGAUCACGUACAAACCAAUAGGGUGUCGGAAUGGUAUCUGUUUAUACUUCUCCUCCUACCACAAUCAAAUUCAGUAUAUCUGGAUGGCACUAUUUAUCCUGAUAGGUUUUUUGAAUGAUGACAAGGCGGAAUGAAAACAAGCCGAAAUUAAAUAUUAGUAACGAGACUAUUUUAAAAUGUAAGGAGUAGAAAGUACAGAUAAUUGCAUGACAAUGUAAGGAAUAGAAGUAAAAAGUCUGCUAAAAUAUAAUUACUCCAUUAAAGUAUAGAUACUCAAAAUUUCUACUUAAGUAAAGUAACAAAGUAUUUGUACUUCUUUACUUGACACCUCUGGUGUCUACUACACACUACUGUAACACACAAUGUAGUGCAGGAUAUUUCAAUAAGAGUCAACAUUUAUUUCUAUAUGAUUCUAGAUUUAAAGAUUCAUUUUCUCAUCAUCUGUAAAGUUUCAACACAAACCAGUCUCCUGUUCUACGACAACCUGAUGAAAUGUAGACUGAUGUUCAGUCAUCUGGCCACUAGAUGGUGCUGUAAUGGAACUGUAUACAUGCUGAUCUGUUACUGUGAUGAAGAGAAGAUGGACUGAGGAUUAAACAAUCUUUAAGAUGAACUAAUUGACAUUUUUUUUCUGUAUUCCCAAAAUACUUGACCAGUCUGAUCUCCUCCUCUGAUCUCUCCCAUCAACAAGAUGUUUCAGACUGCAGACCCUCUGAUUACAGGAUGGUUUUGUUUUUCACACCAUUCUGUAAAAACUCUAGAGAUGUUUGUGUGUGAAAAUCCCAGGAGAUCAGCAGUUUCUGAAAAACCCAAACCAGCCCAUCUGAUACCAACAACCAUUUACUGUUAAAGUCACAGACAUCAGACUUUUACUCCAUUCUGGUGUUCGCUGAGAACUUUAACUGAAGCUCUUCAUCUAAAUCUGCAUGAUUAUAUACACUGUGCUGCUGCCACAUGAUUGGCUGAUUGGAUAACUGGAUGAAUGUGCAGGUGAACACAGGUGAAGGGUCCUGAUAAAGUGGUGUAUAUCAUUUCAUCCAUACCUGGAAAAUGUCCCCCAACCAACCCAGAUAAAUAAAAGCAGUUAAAGCAGUGAAACUGAGAGAGAGAGAGAGAGAGAGAGAGAGAGAGAGAGAGAGAGAGAGAGAGAGAGAGAUAGAGAGAGAGAUCAGUGAAGUGAGAGAGAGAUUUACAUGAAGACAGAUGAGUGAUCCUCUUUAUCUCAGAAUAGAACAGAACUUUCACCAGAUGUUCAACUUUUUUCUGCUUAUUAAGAGUCCAGACUGGAAACAUCAACGUCUUCAAUAAUCAGUACAGUGAUACACUCAUGGUACAAAAACCUGUUACACUACAGUGACCACACACACACACACACACACACACACACACACACACACACACACACACACACACACGUUUCCAUAGCGCGAGGUUCCACUUUGCAUUAUCAGCUCAUGCUUCAGUGCCCUGUGAGUGUUUAUAGCCCUGUGACUUUAACACUUCAUGACUGAGAGCUGCUGCUCAGCGACUUCACCCACAGAAACCAUGAGUUUGAUCAGCAUCUUCAUCUGCACACUGCUCCUCUGUGCUCAAGGAUCCCAGAGUCAGGCCAUUGUGACUCAGAGUCCUGCAGUGAAAUCUGUUUCUCCAGGAGACACAAUCACAAUCAGCUGUAAAACCAAUGUUGCUGUUGAUAAUGACUGUGGCAGUAGUUAUGACUGUUUGUACUGGUUUCAGCAGAAACAUGGAGAAGCUCCUAAAAACCUGAUCUAUUGGGCUAGUACUAGAGCAUCAAGUAUUCCAGAUCGAUUCAGUGGCAGUGGAUCUGCUGCAGCUGCAGGUGCUGAGGAGGACGAUGUGAUGCAGCACAAUGACACGGUUUAACAAACACAAUACACUUACUCAGUAGUCAAGUCCAGCUUUCUCACCUCUGAGCUUCAUUUACAUAUUUAACAGAGCUGACAUGAGGCCAAAACCCUGAUCAGAGGUCAGUAGUUGGUCAUUUACCACUUUAACCAGUGUGGUGUUAGAGUGUGGUGAGGAAUAAAUCAGAAGAUGUUAUGUGUCUUACUCUGAUACAGAUCUGCACCUAGAUGUUCAGCUAACACUUUUUUACAUCAGACCGGAGUUUGAAAGCUGAUACUACACUUCAUAGCACAUGACCUGGUAAUCCAGCUGUGAAUUAAAACACCUUCACAACACUCCAUUCCCUGUCGUCCCUUUGAUGAUGUCAGAGCAGUGUAUCAUAUACUGUGACAUGAAUACCUGCAAUUAUCCUGUACAACCUCUACCAUGAGUCCGUCUGUUCAAAUCCCACAGCAAAACUCAGUCAC